rnacentral:rRNA from 1 species
AACGAACGCUGGCGGCAGGCCUAACACAUGCAAGUCGAGCGCUCCGCAAGGGGAGCGGCAGACGGGUGAGUAACGCGUGGGAACCUAGCCUACGGUCGGGAAUAGCUCAGGGGAAACUUGGGGUAAUACCGGAUACGCCUUACGGGAAGGAUUUAUCGCCGUUGGAUGGGCCCGCGUCGGAUUAGCUAGUUGGUGAGGUAAUGGCUCACCAAGGCGACGAUCCGUAGCUGGUCUGAGAGGANGAUCAGCCACACUGGGACUGAGACACGGCCCAGACUCCUACGGGAGGCAGCAGUGGGGAAGUCUUGCGCAAU